rnacentral:rRNA from 1 species
UACGUAGGUGGCAAGCGUUGUCCGGAAUUAUUGGGCGUAAAGCGCGCGCAGGCGGUCCUUUAGGUCUGAUGUGAAAGCCCACGGCUCAACCGUGGAGGGUCAUUGGAAACUGGGGGACUUGAGUGCAGAAGAGGAAAGCGGAAUUCCACGUGUAGCGGUGAAAUGCGUAGAGAUGUGGAGGAACACCAGUGGCGAAGGCGGCUUUCUGGUCUGUAACUGACGCUGAUGCGCGAAAGCUAGGGGAGCAAACAGG